rfam:Camelus ferus isolate Naran unplaced genomic scaffold scaffold2827, whole genome shotgun sequence.
GAGGGUAUAGCUCAGUGGUAGAGUGUGUGCUUAGUAUGCAUGAGGUCCUGGGUUCAAUCCCCCAUACUUCCA